UCGAGAAUCUUCCCCAAUGGACGAAAGUCUGAGGGAGCGACGCCGCGUGCAGGAAGAAGCCCUUCGGGGUGUAAACUGCUUUUCUUUGGGAACAACUCUGAGUGUACCAAAGGAAUAAGGGGCUGCUAACUUCGUGCCAGCAGCAGCGGUAAUACGAAGGCCCCGAGCGUUAUCCGGAUUUAUUGGGCGUAAAGCGUUCAACGGUGGCUCCGCACGUCUCCGGUUAAAUCCAACGGCUCAACCGUUGGCCCGCCGGUGAUACGACGAAGCUCGAGGACGGGAGAGGCACACGGAAUGGUCGGUGUAGCGGUAAAAUGCGUUAAUAUCGACUAGAACACCAAUAGCGAAGGCAGUGUGCUGGAACGAUCCUGACACUAAACGAACGAAAGCGUGGGGAGCGAAUGGGAUUAGAUACCCCCGUAGUCC
rnacentral:rRNA from 1 species